CCUGACGGUAGUCGUAUGCUCGUCUCCGAGACUAAGCCAUGCAAGUCCAAGUACACGUCCUUGAACGACGGAAACUGCGAAACGGCUCAUUAAAUCAGUUGCGAUCUACUCGGCGUUCCGCGCCGCCGGAUAACCGUAGUAAUUCUAGGGCUAAUACGUGCGAAGCGCCCGAAGCCGCGAAGGCGACGGGCGUUCUCGCCGGAUGUAGGAACCGACCCGGGGACCGCCGGGGCAACCCGGCGCCCCCGAGACGGGGCGAACCACGGUGAAAUGACGGAUCGUCGGCCCCGCGCCGGCGACUCGCCGAAUGAGUUUCUGACCUAUCAACUCGAGACGGCGGGGUAGAGGCCCGCCGCGGUAACGACGGGUAACGGGGAAUCAGGGUUCGAUUCCGGAGAGGGAGCCCGAGAAACGGCUACCACUUCCAAGGAAGGCAGCAGGCGCGCAACUUACCCUAAUCUCGAUUCGAGGAGGUAGUGACAAGAAAUACCGAUGCGGGA
rnacentral:rRNA from 1 species